rnacentral:rRNA from 1 species
UACGGGGGGGGCAAGCGUUGUUCGGAAUUACUGGGCGUAAAGGGCUCGUAGGCGGCCAACUAAGUCAGACGUGAAAUCCCUCGGCUUAACCGGGGAACUGCAUCUGAUACUGGAUGGCUUGAGAUUGGGAGAGGGAUGCGGAAUUCCAGGUGUAGCGGUGAAAUGCGCAGAUAUUAGGAGGAACACCGGUGGCGAAGGCGCCGCUCUGGGCCGAAACUGACGCUGAGGAGCGAAAGCAUGGGUAGCAAACAGG